GACGAACGCUGGCGGCGUGCUUAACACAUGCAAGUCGAACGGAAAGGCCCUGCUUUUGUGGGGUGCUCGAGUGGCGAACGGGUGAGUAACACGUGAGUAACCUGCCCUUGACUUUGGGAUAACUUCAGGAAACUGGGGCUAAUACCGGAUAGGAGCUCCUGCUGCAUGGUGGGGGUUGGAAAGUUUCGGCGGUUGGGGAUGGACUCGCGGCUUAUCAGCUUGUUGGUGGGGUAGUGGCUUACCAAGGCUUUGACGGGUAGCCGGCCUGGGAGGGUGACCGGCCACAUUGGGACUGAGAUACGGCCCAGACGCCUACGGGAGGCAGCAGUGGGGAAUAUUGCCAAAUGGGCGGAAGCCUGAUGCAGCAACGCCGCGUGCGGGAUGACGGCCUUCGGGUUGUAAACCGCUUUCGCCUGUGACGAAGCGUGAGUGACGGUAAUGGGUAAAGAAGCACCGGCUAACUACGUG
rnacentral:rRNA from 1 species